UGGUGGGGUGACCUGUCUGCUUAAUUGCGAUAACGAACGAGACCUUAACCUGCUAAAUAGCCAGGCUGGCUCUGGCCGGUCGUUGGCUUCUUAGAGGGACUUUCGGCUCAAGCCGAAGGAAGUUUGAGGCAAUAACA
rnacentral:rRNA from 1 species